AUGCCCUCCCACACAGUCCCACUUGCCCAGAUGCAUAUAUUAGACCCCCACGCCUCCCCCUUUCAUCCUCAAUAAAUUCUCCUUCUUGUUAAUAGCUUCUGCAAGCAACCAGGAGGACAGGGUCGAGUGGCCUUAGCCAAAGUCCUCCAUGGAAAUUGGUGGGUUCGGAGAAGACGAUAUGGGCGUUUGCCGGCGGGGUGUUGAAGUUGUAAGGUUAUUCCAUCGGAGGGCGUGCAAUUCCAUUUCCUCCCACUUCAUUCCUCCUUCGUAAUCCUCUUCUUCCAAUCAAACCUUUCCCGGAAGGCACAGCAGCCCCAGGGAGAACGAAAUUGGUUUGGAGGUUUUAGCCUUCCCGAAUAGUUGGUGAUUUGGGCUCCGCCCCCGUUGCUUUAACAUGUCGGGUCUUCAGAAGCGGCGGCAGCAGCAACCAGUCCCCACGGAUGGCGGAUUUCUUGAACGACCCCUGAUUGAGUCUGAUGAUAUCAUAAUUGAUAUACUGUCAAGGCUACCAGUGAAAUAUUUGAUCCAAUUGCGGUGUGUAUGCAAGUCAUGGCGCUCUUUGAUCUCUGAUUUGCAUCUUGUUAGGAAGCACCUGAGACGGGCAGUGACAGGGGUUAACCGUAAUAGCUAUAGGCUUCUUAUUUCAGACAGUCCUUUCCAAUCCAUAGACUACGAAGCACUCAAGGAUGUCAGUGUAUGUGUGCAAAGCUCUUUUCUUUGUUUUCAAUUGCCAGUAACGCUUGAACGUAUGAGUGUUGUGGGUUCUUGCAAUGGCUUGAUAUGUCUAAAAGGAAACAAAGGCGAAGUUCUCUUAUGGAACCCUUGUACCAGAGUUACCAAAAUGUUACCAGGAAUUGCUUGUUUUUAUUUUUGUCCAAAGUUUUAUGGAUUUGGUUAUGAUUCCACCAUUGAAGAUUACAAGGUUAUAUUGGGUGGCGAAUCUACAACUGCAGAUGGCAUGAUGAUUGCGGUCUUUACACUAAAAUCAGGUUUGUGGAGGACUAAACAAUACCUUGACUCUUUUAAAUUGCAUGGGCAAGGGUGCUUGGUUAACGGAGCUCUACAUUGGGUAGAGCUUAAAUGGAGUGGGGAGGAGCUCCGCCCUGUACUUAGUUCAAGAAUCAUCUCUUUUAUUUUGGCGGAGGAGAAUAUUGUGCCGCUGCCCUAUCUUCACAUCCAAAGUUAUAUCUCCAUUCGUAUUGGGACUAUUGCAAAUCGUCUCUUUGCAUAUUUGUUCAAUGACGUCAGUUUGAGUGAUAUUGCAAUAACAGUAUGGGUGAUGAAGGAUUAUGGUGUCCAUGAAUCUUGGACUAAAAUCAUACAAAUUCCUUUGAAGUCGUUACGUCAAAUAAGUAUGAAUUUUGUGAAUAUUAUCUGCAUUUUAGAGAAUGAUGAAGUUUUGAUGAGUUGUGAUUCAAGUUACUUGGCUUUAUACAAUCCAAAGGAAAAUACAUUGACGAAGGUUCUUAAAACUCCUACUAAUUUGUUGACUGAAGCAACUAUGUAUGUGGAGACCUUAGUUUCACCAGUAAUUGGUGGUGGCGCCAACAUCUGAAACCAAUGAUGUUAGAUUUAACUGUUCAGUUAGGUUUGGUACGAUGAGGGCGCCCCAAUGUUAGUUCAGAGACCGCCAGAAAUGGUUUUGAUGGGGGAAAAUGAGCACGCGGUAUGCAUGCUUUCAAGAAGACCAACUGGAGCAACCAGGGUUGAAAACUACGAAGGAUGCGAUUAUCUUGCCAGGACCUGACCUGCCAAGUUUGAACACGAUCCGUUCUGGAGCUUACACGAUAGAGAUCUAAUAUAUCCUACAUCUGAUGCCGACUGGCAAAGUUGUUGGAGGAGGAAUGGAGGAUGAACAAGGGCGGAAAGAGAAGCAUUGUUAACGUGUUUUCCUCCGAGCAGUACAUGGAUUUUAUAACUGUACAUGUAUAUUCGUAUGUUUUCUUUUAAUUUAUACUCAAACUUGUAUAUUCUUGUUCGAUAAUCAAUCAAAAAACAUUUUUAACCCUUGAUUGGUC
rnacentral:sRNA from 1 species